rnacentral:rRNA from 1 species
AGUCUGGUGCCAGCAGCCGCGGUAAUUCCAGCUCUAACAGCGUAUAUUAAAGUUGUUGUGGUUAAAACGCCCGUAGUUGGUUUUUCGGUCUCGAAGCUCGGUAGCUCGUAUGGGCUUAACUGAGUCUUCCGGCCUAAAUUUCUUGUACUCUCCCGAUGCUCUUUAUUGAGUGUCUCGAGAUGCUAGAACGUUUACUUUGAAAAAAUUAGAGUGCUAAAAGCAGGCUAUACGCUUGAAUAAAGUGCAUGGAAUAAUGGAAUAGGACUUUAGUUUUAUUUUGUUGGUUUUCGAAAUUAAAGUAAUGAUUAAGAGGAACAGACGGGGGCAUUCGUAUUGUUGCGUUAGAGGUGAAAUUCUUGGAUCGCAGCAAGACGAACAACUGCGAAAGCAUUUGCCAAGAAUGUUUUCAUUAAUCAAGGACGAUAGUUAGAGGUUCGAAGGCGAUCAGAUACCGCCCUAGUUCUAACCGUAAACUAUGCCAACUAGCGAUCCGUCGGUGUUAAAUAUUGACUCGACGGGCAGCUUCCGGGAAACCAAAGUUUAUAGGUUCCGGGGGAAGUAUGGUUGCAAAGCUUAAACUUAAAGGAAUUGACGGAAGGGCACCACCAGGAGUGGAGCCUGCGGCUUAAUUUGACCCAACACGGGGAAACUCACCCGGCCAGGACACAAUAAGGAUUGACAGAUUGAUAGCUCUUUCUUGAUUUUGUGGGUGGUGGUGCAUGGCCGUUCUUAGUUGGUGGAGCGAUUUGUCUGGUUAAUUCCGAUAACGAACGAGACUCUAGCCUAUUAAAUAGACGAUAUAUCUUAUUAGUAUAUCGAGCUUCUUAGAGGGACGAGCAGCUUCUAGCUGCACGAGAUUGAGCAAUAACAGGUCUGUGAUGCCCUUAGAUGUCCGGGGCUGCACGCGCGCUACAAUGAAAAUAGCAGCGCGUUUCGAAAACCUUUUCUGGAAAGUAUUGGUAAACGCGAAAUAUUUUCGUGAUUGGGAUAGGGGAUUGCAAUUAUUGCCCUUGAACGAGGAAUUCCCAGUAAAUUCGAGUCAUCAGCUCGAGUUGAUUACGUCCCUGCCCUUUGUACACACCGCCCGUCGCUACUACCGAUUGGAACAUUGCGUGAGAUCUUCGGACAGACGUCGAAACGAACGUAAAAAUUCGAUUCGCGCGUUGGAAAGAUGCUCGAAUGCAACGUUCUAGAGGAAGUAAAAGU